rnacentral:rRNA from 1 species
AUUGAACGCUGGCGGCAGGCCUAACACAUUCAAGUCGAACGAGUGGCGGACGGGUGAGUAGUGUCUGGUAAACUGCCCGAUGGAGGGGGAUCACUACUGGAAACCGUUGCUCCUACCGCAUCCCAUCCGAUGUGCCCAGAUGGGAUUAGCUAGUAGGUGGUGUAAAGGCUCACAUAGGCGACGCUCCCUAGUUGGUCUGAGAGGAUGACCAGCCACACUGGAAUCGAGAAACGGAGCAGAGUACAAGGGGAGGAAGGAGUGGGGAAUAGUGAACGAUGGGAGAAAGGAAGAUGCAGGCAAGACGAGUGUAGGAAGAAGAGGGAGGGGGUGUAAAGGACGGGAAGGGAGGAGGCGUUACUCGCAGAAGAAGCACCGGCUAACUCCGUGGCAGCCGCCGCGGUAAUUC